UACGGGGGGGGGCAAGCGUUUGUUCGGAAUUACUGGGCGUAAAGGGUGCGUAGGCGGCUUUCUAAGUCGGAUGUGAAAAACCUCGUGGCUACCAACCAGAGACUGCAUCUGAAAACUGGAGAGCUAGGGUUCUGGAGGGGAAAGCGGAAUUCCUGGUGUAGCGGUGAAAUGCGUAGAUAUCAGGAAGAACACCAAUGGCGAAAGCAGCUUUCUGGGACGGUACUGACGCUGAGACGCGAAAGCGUGGGGAGCAAACAGG
rnacentral:rRNA from 1 species